UACGUAGGGGGCAAGCGUUGUCCGGAUUUAUUGGGCGUAAAGAGCGUGUAGGCGGCCAUGCAGGUCCGUUGUGAAAACUCGAGGCUCAACCUCGAGACGCCGAUGGAAACCGCAUGGCUAGAGUCCGGAAGAGGAGAGUGGAAUUCCUGGAUGUAGCGGUGAAAUGACGCAGAUAUCAGGAAGAACACCCGUGGCUAAGGCGGCUCUCUAGUACGGUACUGACGCUGAGACGCGAAAGCGUGGGGAGCGAACAGG
rnacentral:rRNA from 1 species